AUUCAGAUUCAGAAAAACCCAUAAAACGAAAUCGGAUGAGGGAGGAUUCAAGGAGAAAUCCAGAGAUGCUUUUGAAGGAUUCAAGCAGGGCUGGAUAUAUUCUCAUCCAAAACUCGAUCAGUAAUUUGAAGUUACUCAAUGUUCGAUACGGAUGCUUUGGAAGAAGAAGUCAGGAUGCUGUUUGAGAAUUCUCUUCCUCCUUAUCAAACCAAUUCAGUCUCGAUGAGUUUGUAAAGCUGGGUUUUUUUUUUUUUAAUAAUUUUUUUUAUGUUUGCCAAAUAUUUGGAAGUCAAUGUGGUUUCAAUGGGAUGGAAAAGGACAUUCAAUUUUCUA